UGUGAAGUGUGGGCAGCUUGAAACACACGAGGCAGCAAAUCCGAACAGGCAAAGGCCUCACUCUCCAGUGCAGUCUGGGAGGACUGAUCAGGGAAGAACAGAUCAGGGUGAAGAACAGAAAGGUGAGCUCUGAUCCUGGAACUUCUUCCCUGCGCUCUGCCAGCUCCCACCUCGCCACCACCCUGGGUUCUGGAACCACGCCAAGCAGGGCAGAAACCGAAGUGCUUUUGGAAGUCCACAGGGAUUCCCACACCCACCACAGCCCAAUUUCAUCUGCCCACAGUUGCUCCCUGAACUCAGUGGCUCUGCCGCAGCAGGGAGAUGGUCUGAAGGACAGGCGUGGGGGCAGAAGAAGACCCCAAGGCAUCUCCCCAAGAUGACCACAGUUGUCCCUGAAGAAGCAGUCACAGCAAGCUCACUUCACAGGAACCAAGCUGUGGGCUGAUCCUACAGACUUGAAAAGACAACUCAAAAAGGUUUCUCAGCCUCCAGGAAAGCA
rnacentral:lncRNA from 1 species